UUUCCUGAGGAAGGCUCGUCCGCUCAGGGUUAGUCGGGACCUAAGCCGAGGCCGAAAGGCGUAGGCGAUGGACAACAGGUUGAUAUUCCUGUACCACCUCCUCACCAUUUGAGCAAUGGGGGACGCAGGAGGAUAGGGUAAGCGCGGUAUUGGAUAUCCGCGUCCAAGCAGUUAGGCUGGAAAUAGGCAAUCCGUUUCCCAUAAGGCUGAGCUGUGAUGGCGAGCGAAAAUAGUAGCGAAGUUCCUGAUUCCACACUGCCAAGAAAAGCCUCUAGCGAGGUGAGAGGUGCCCGUACCGCAAACCGACACAGGUAGGCGAGGAAGAAUCCUAAGGUGAUCGAGAGAACUCUCGUUAAGGAACUCGGCAAAAUGACCCCGUAACUUCGGGAGAAGGGUGCUCUGUUAGGUGCAAGCCCGAAGAGCCGCAGUGAAUAGGCCCAGGCGACUGUUUAGCAAAACACAGGUCUCUGCGAAGCCGUAAGGCGAAGUAUAGGGGCUGACGCCUGCCCGGUGCUGGAAGGUUAAGAGGAGCGCUUAGCGUAAGCGAAGGUGCGAAUUGAAGCCCCAGUAAACGGCGGCCGUAACGAUAACGGUCCUAAGGUAGCGAAAUUCCUUGUCGGGUAAGUUCCGACCCGCACGAAAGGCGCAACGAUCUGGGCACUGUCUCAGCGAGAGACUCGGUGAAAUAUAGUACCUGUGAAGAUGCAGGUUACCCGCGACAGGACGGAAAGACCCGUGGAGCUUUACUGCAGCCUGAUAUUGAAUGUUGGUGCAGCUUGUACAGGAUAGGUAGGAGCCUUGAAACCGGAGCGCCAGCUUUGGUGGAGGCAUCGGUGGGAUACUACCCUGGCUGUAUUGACCUUCUAACCCGCCGCCCUUAUCGGGCGGGAGACAUCAGGUGGGCAGUUUGACUGGGGCGGUCGCCUCCUAAAAGGUAACAGGCGCCCAAAGGUUCCUCAGAAUGGUUGGAAAUCAUUCGCAGAGUGUAAAGGCACAAGGGAGCUUACGACUGCGAGACCUACAAGUCGAGCAGGGACGAAAGUCGGGCUUAGUGAUCCGGUGGUUCCGCAUGGAAGGGCCAUCGCUCAACGGAUAAAAGCUACCCCGGGGAUAACAGGCUUAUCUCCCCAAGAGUCCACAUCGACGGGGAGGUUUGGCACCUCGAUGUCGGCUCAUCGCAUCCUGGGGCUGUAGUCGGUCCCAAGGGUUGGGCUGUUCGCCCAUUAAAGCGGUACGCGAGCUGGGUUCAGAACGUCGUGAGACAGUUCGGUCCCUAUCCGUCGCGGGCGCAGGAAAUUUGAGAGGAGCUGUCCUUAGUACGAGAGGACCGGGAUGGACGCACCGCUGGUGUACCAGUUGUUCUGCCAAGGGCAUCGCUGGGUAGCGCUGUGCGGACGGGAUAAGUGCUGAAAGCAUCUAAGCAUGAAGCCCCCUCAAGAUGAGAUUUCCCAUUCCGCAAGGAAGUGAUCCCUGAAAGAUGAUCAGGUUGAUAGGUCUGAGGUGGAAGUGUGGCGACACAUGGAGCUGACAGAUACUAAUCGAUC
rnacentral:rRNA from 1 species